ACGAACGCUGGCGGCGUGCUUAACACAUGCAAGUCGAACGGAAAGGCCCUGCUUUUGUGGGGUGCUCCAGUGGCGAACGGGUGAGUAACACGUGAGUAACCUGCCCUUGACUUUGGGAUAACUUCAGGAAACUGGGGCUAAUACCGGAUAGGAGCUCCUGCUGCAUGGUGGGGGUUGGAAAGUUUCGGCGGUUGGGGAUGGACUCGCGGCUUAUCAGCUUGUUGGUGGGGUAAUGGCUUACCAAGGCUUUGACGGGUAGCCGGCCUGAGAGGGUGACCGGCCACAUUGGGACUGAGAUACGGCCCAGACUCCUACGGGAGGCAGCAGUGGGGAAUAUUGCACAAUGGGCGGAAGCCUGAUGCAGCAACGCCGCGUGCGGGAUGACGGCCUUCGGGUUGUAAACCGCUUUCGCCUGUGACGAAGCGUGAGUGACGGUAAUGGGUAAAGAAGCACCGGCUAACUACGUG
rnacentral:rRNA from 1 species